CCUACGGGUGGCUGCAGUGGGGAAUAUUGCACAAUGGGGGCAACCCUGAUGCAGCAACGCCGCGUGAAGGAAGACGGUUUUCGGAUUUUAAACUUCUAUCAGUAGGGAAGAAAGCAAUGACGGUCCCUAAAUACUAAGCCCCGGCUAACUACGUGCCAGCAGCCGCGGUAAUCCGUAGGGGGCAAGCGUUAUCCGGAAUUACUGGGUGUAAAGGGAGAGUAGGCGGUAAGGUAAGCGAGAGGUGAAAGCCUUAGGCUUAACUUAAGGAUGGCAUAACGAACUAUUUAGCUAGAGUACAGGAGAGGAAAGCGGAAUUCAUAGUGUAGCGGUGAAAUGCGUAGAUAUUAGGAAGAACACCAGUGGCGAAGGCGGCUUUCUGGACUGAAACUGACGCUGAGGCUCGAAAGCGUGGGGAGCGAACAGGAUUAGAUACCCGAGUAGUC
rnacentral:rRNA from 1 species